rnacentral:lncRNA from 1 species
UGGAGGAAGCAGCCACGGGCGAGAGUGGCUGCAGCUGGAGUGAGCGAGCGCGACGAGCCACCGGAAACGGAGCUGCGGCCGCGCCCCGCCCCCAGCUCCCCGCACGCUGCCCCUCCCGCUCGUCUGUCCCGCUGGCGGCCCAGCGUGCUGGCUGUACGCGUCACUUCCGGCUGUGUCGGCGCGCGAAAAAAGGAACCAAAGAGAAGUGAAGGAAUGUGUCCAAGGGCUCCCAAGUUGGCGGUGGAAUUAGAAUUGAAGCCUCAGCUCCAAAGCCUGUGUUCUGAACUACCCGGUUGCAGUUCACAAAAUACACUUUGGCAGUACUUUCAUAACGAAAACAAAUGAUUACAACCAGUUUACAAAUGCUUUGCUUUACUGGAGGAUCGACAUGUUUGACUAAUUUUCAAAAAUAAAUCUCAGAAGCAGCAAAAAAAAAAAAAAAA